ACCGGCGCUGCGCCACCACCCACACACCCCCACCCACCCCACCGCGCCACACCACAUCACGCUCGCAACUCGCGAGCCAGAGACUCUGAGGCCGCCCGCCGACGCCGACGCCGACCGCCGCACCGCCCGUCCGUUUCCCCUCUAUGGUCUCCGCCAACCAGCCGCCGCCCGACGCGGCCGGGGCGGCCUCCGGGGAGGACGCCAGCAAGAAGGUGCGGAAGCCGUACACCAUCACCAAGUCGCGCGAGAGCUGGACGGAGCAGGAGCACGACAAGUUCCUUGAGGCCCUCCAGCUCUUUGAUCGUGAUUGGAAAAAGAUAGAAGCUUUUGUUGGAUCAAAGACUGUUAUUCAGAUUAGGAGCCACGCACAGAAGUAUUUUCUGAAGGUUCAGAAAAAUGGAACAAGUGAGCAUGUCCCGCCUCCGCGACCAAAGCGUAAAGCUGCUCAUCCAUACCCUCAGAAGGCCUCCAAAAAUGAACCAGGCUAUACCCUGAAGACAGAAUCAUCUUCCAUGCUUAGGAACUCAGGCAUGAAUGCAACUGUUUCAUCAUGGACACACAAUUCAAUCCCACCAAUUGUAGCCUCAUCCAUGGUGAAAGAAGAUUUAGGUGCUGGAGCAAUGGGCCCCAAUAAUUUUUGUUCUAGCAGUACUGAAGGCCCUCCAAGGGCAUGGCAACCUGGUGAAACCAACGAUCAGAUUAAUCAAGUUCUGUCACUCCGCCUUAUGCCAGAUUUUGCACAAGUGUAUAGCUUCCUGGGCAGCGUUUUUGAUCCAAGCACAAGUGGCCAUUUACAGAAACUAAAGGAGAUGAAUCCAAUUGAUGUUGAGACGGCACUGUUGUUGAUGAGAAAUCUCUCCAUCAAUCUGACUAGUCCUGAUUUUGAAGAUCAACAGGGUUUGCUCAUUUGCCAUGGUUUCUGGUACUGCCUGUGCAGAAUGGCUGGAAUGUACGGGCAGCUAUCAGAAAAUGUGUGUAAAGUCACCAUAUUUUAGCAAACUUUUGAAACUGUCAGAAAUUUUGAGGAAGUUGCUAUCUUCAUAUAGUUCCACAUCUGAUGGGAUUGAGCUAGGAAGCACCAGAAGCUCAGUUCUUGCUGAUAGACCGUUGAGCGCUCCAUUCAUGAUUAAGAGCGAAUAGUGGUGAGAAAGUGAGAAGUCUCUUCCAUGGCCAAAUCGGCUAAAAGGUGCUGAGAAGUCUCUCCACCUAUAAUUUCGGCUCGUCAGUCACUGUGGGCUUGGUGAAUCACUAAGGAAGGCACUUGCACCAUUGUAUUCCUAGCUGGCUUCAAGCCUUCGACUGUAGAACGUGUAAGGGUGCAACCAUGUACAGCAGGCUUGCACGGGUGAGAUCUGUCUAUAGCAGUAAUGCGGUAUAGCCUAAUGUGUAUAUAUGUUAGCCCUGAAGCGUGUAGCUUUCCUCCCCCCAAUACCUUUGUCGCCUUGGCUCGCAAAUCUUGCUUCAGUUAAAAGGCUGUUGUUAGUAAUGGGAAAUGGAAAGGAAAUUUUGAGUGAUGCUGGUUGCUCCCCUUUUCCUCCAUUAAGCUCAGCUGGUGAUAGCAUUUUCGUUUCUGUCAUCUGGCACGGCAGGGCACCACCCCAAGUGACCAUGGCAUUGCAAGAUGCAGAAUGCUCCAUCUGAUAAGAUGUGUAAAGUGCUUUCAGUUGAGGUGAUUCUUGUGCUGUAAAGCGGCUUAUCUUCCACUAUGUAAAUCAUGCUCAUGCUCGAUGUAUCAUGUAUGAUUCUUGGAAAGUCUGGAUGCCAAUAUGACUUGUGCACUUUCCAUAUAAGUUAUCUAUGGUGAAAAAGACCAAAUGUGCUAUUGUAA